rnacentral:rRNA from 1 species
GACGAACGCUGGCGGCGUGCUUAACACAUGCCAGUCGAACGGAAAGGCCUCUUUCGGGGGGUACUCGAGUGGCGAACGGGUGAGUAACACGUGAGUAACCUGCCCUUGACUUUGGGAUAACUUCAGGAAACUGGGGCUAAUACCGGAUAGGAGCUCCUGCUGCAUGGUGGGGGUUGGAAAGUUUCGGCGGUUGGGGAUGGACUCGCGGCUUAUCAGCUUGUUGGUGGGGUAGUGGCUUACCAAGGCUUUGACGGGUAGCCGGCCUGAGAGGGUGACCGGCCACAUUGGGACUGAGAUACGGCCCAGACUCCUACGGGAGGCAGCAGUGGGGAAUAUUGCACAAUGGGUGGAAGCCUGAUGCAGCAACGCCGUGUGCGGGAUGACGGCCUUCGGGUUGUAAACCGCUUUCGCUCAUGACGAAGCUUUGUGUGACGGUAGUGGGUAAAGAAGCACCGGCUAACUACGUG